GGUUGUGAAGGUGAUCUGGCUAUGACAUCUGUCACCCCAUUGACCAUCAGGGUUGAUUCGGCUGAUCUGGCUGGCUAGGCAAUGUCCCCUUCCUCCCUCACUGCUCCAUGUGCACCCCUCCCGAAGCUGCCUGCUUGGUUGAAGAGGAUGACCACCCCCGAUAGAGGAGGACCGUUUCCUCAGUUAAGGGUAUACGACUGGCCACGACCCCUGUUAGAACUUCCAAACAAGCUCUCAAGAUGAGUUCAACAUAUGAAAGUCAAUCACUAUAAUACACCAUAUUCAUAGAAUUAAUGAGAAAAACCAAUGU
rnacentral:snRNA from 1 species